GGAAUAUUGGACAAUGGGCGCAAGCCUGAUCCAGCAAUGCCGCGUGUGUGAAGAAGGCCUGCGGGUUGUAAAGCACUUUCAGUAGAGACGAAAAACUGAAGACUAAUAUCCUUCAGGAUUGACUUAACCUACAGAAGAAGCACCGGCUAACUCCGUUCCAGCAGCCGCGGUAAUACGGAGGGUGCGAGCGUUAAUCGGAAUUACUGGGCGUAAAGCGCGCGUAGGCGGUUUGAUAAGUCGGGUGUGAAAGCCCCGGGCUUAACCCGGGAAUUGCAUUCGAUACUGUCAGGCUGGAGUAUGGUAGAGGGAAGUGGAAUUCCGGGUGUAGCGGUGAAAUGCGUAGAUAUCCGGAGGAACACCGGUGGCGAAGGCGGCUUCCUGGACCAAUACUGACGCUGAGGCGCGAAAGCGUGGGGAGCA
rnacentral:rRNA from 1 species